GGUCAUGCUGAAGUAGAGAGGAUUCACUUGAGCCCAUAUCCUUGAGGAACUGCAAACUGCAUGCCUUGGCACAUUGAGAUCAAGUCCAUCUGGGGAGCACCAGUGCAGAGAAGAAAUAAAAUGGGUGACAGUCUCCAACAUAAAUAACUUGCCCAGUAACUAAUUAGUGCCUGAGCCCCUGACUGCUGGGUUUCCACAGCCUAAUCUUGUCCUUUGAGCCCUUCAAAGGCCUGCAACUCAGUGUCAUGUUCUGCUUGGGAAGGGUACAGCUCCAAGACUUGCCUGUCCUGAGCUCUGCUCAGCAUUGGCAUCAGUGGCACUGACUGCUCAGAUGCUCUGUGGAAAACAAGCAUGGAGCAACCAUUCAGAAAGCAGUGUGCCUCUUUCUGAAGAGGAAACAAAGGGAGCAUCCUGCACUGGUUCACUGCCCCUGGCAGCAUGCUGGGAGCUUUAGCAGAGCCAGGCGCUGAUCACUGGGAGAGUGUUUUCCUUGAGCUAACCAGGGAAGGCCAGGCACCUCGUCCUGCCCACAAAGGCAGGGAUGGCUCAGGGAGCAGGAGGUGCACACACUCUCCCGCCACAUCCCAGUGCAUAACAGAGCUCCAGUGAAAAGGAAGAGACACAUGGAUGCCAUCAGCAGGAAAAAUGUUAUUGUGGCUGCAGCAUCUUGGAGGGAAAUUGAGCAUGGCACGUCGGUGCAUCACCCUCUUCUCAUCACCUCCCGGAGAGGCCACGCCGCUUGCACGCAUCCCUGCAACAUCUGGCGAGAGGGCAACGAGGGGCAGGAUGCUGGGAGGUUCGCUGGGGCAAAAACGUGCCUGUUUUGCCUGGUGUGCCCCAGAGCACGGCCUCAGAUGCCCGUGUGCCUCAGUGCCACCCAUGGCACCGCAUCGGACUGUGAGAGCUGCCAGCAGCCCAUGCCUCGCUCUGGAAAGCUGUAGCCUGUACGUGAAAUUCCCAAGGACGAGGAGAAGCUGGCAGACAACAAGGAGGAUUAGGUGGUUCCCCAAGGAACACAAGGAACGCUGCAAGAUCCUAUCAUUGCCCAUUUCCGUGGGGUGAUUAGGCAGCGUUUGAUGCUGGGAGGAUGCUUUCUGUUAGGCUACUUUGCGAACGCUAGCCCAGCGACUAACAGCCUGUGAUGGGAAGUCAUGUUUCCCUGGAUGUGCUAAAGCCAGACUCCUUGAGAAUGCAGGCUCCUUGCCCCAAAAUCCAGCCUGCCGUGCCCGGCACCCUGCCCCAGGGAAGCUCUCUCUGCUCUCCUUCUCAAA